GCCUUGGUGGUUCAGUAGUAGAAUUCUCGCCUUCCAUGAGGGUGACUUGGGUUCAAUUCCCAGCCAGUGCA
rnacentral:tRNA from 1 species